AUUGAACGCUGGCGGCAGGCUUAACACAUGCAAGUCGAGCGGAGAGAGGUAGCUUGCUACUGAUCUUAGCGGCGGACGGGUGAGUAAUGCUUAGGAAUCUGCCUAUUAGUGGGGGACAACAUUUCGAAAGGAAUGCUAAUACCGCAUACGUCCUACGGGAGAAAGCAGGGGAUCUUCGGACCUUGCGCUAAUAGAUGAGCCUAAGUCGGAUUAGCUAGUUGGUGGGGUAAAGGCCUACCAAGGCGACGAUCUGUAGCGGGUCUGGGAGGAUGAUCCGCCACAAUGGGAAUGGGACAAGGCCCAGACUCCUACGGGAGGCAGCAGUGGGGAAUAUUGGACAAUGGGCGCAAGCCUGAUCCAGCCAUGCCGCGUGUGUGAAGAAGGCCUUAUGGUUGUAAAGCACUUUAAGCGAGGAGGAGGCUACUUUAGUUAAUACCUAGAGAUAGUGGACGUUACUCGCAGAAUAAGCACCGGCUAACUCUGUGCCAGCCGCCGCCGUAA
rnacentral:rRNA from 1 species